UACGUAGGGUCCGAGCGUUGUCCGGAAUUAUUGGGCGUAAAGGGCUCGUAGGCGGUCCGUCACGUCGGGAGUGAAAACUCAGGGCUCAACCCUGAGCGUGCUUCCGAUACGGGCGGACUAGAGGUAUGCAGGGGAGAACGAAUUCCUGGUGUAGCGGUGGAAUGCGCAGAUAUCAGGAGGAACACCGGUGGCGAAGGCGGUUCUCUGGGCAUUACCUGACGCUGAGGAGCGAAAGCAUGGGGGAGCGAACAGG
rnacentral:rRNA from 1 species